ensembl:snRNA U6 U6 spliceosomal RNA
GCACACUUUGGCAGUACAGAUACUAAAAUUGGAGUGAUACUGAGGUUAGCCUGGCCUCUGUGCAAGGAUGAGAACAAAUUCAUGAAGUGGUCUAUGUAUAU